UUGCGAGCCGUGAUAAUAUGGUCCUGGAUAAGCAGCUGGUGCUGGAUAACCCGCGUACGCGUAUUGUUGCUUUUGCGGAUAAACUGUGGAAAAGAAAAACAAUAGUUGAGAUAAGCGUUAAGGCGGACAGGAGCCUCUUCGUAAAACACAUUCUCGCUGUUCCUGAGCAGACAUGGGUCGGAGUUUACGUCAUUGGCAAAUUUCAUCACCUAACCGAGGGGAGAAAAGCUCUUAGACUCUGGCGAGGCUGGAUUAACGAGGGAAAAAAAUUGAUAAAGGGAGGAAAGUCGAGCGUGGGCAUACGCGAUUAUUGGAUUUCACGAGUUUCGCGGGGCAAAUACGAAGUGAAUAAAAAACGAAAAAAUUUGAAUAAUUUCUCGACACUCGAAAUAAAAAAUUGAUCAGCGUUGUGUUUUAACGACAAUUUUAACAAGAAGGAGCAAAAUCAUUCUCGUGAAAUUAAAACUUGAGGAACAAGGAGAGGGAACAUCGCGUUAAGGAGAAAAGGAUGUCAAGUGUGACGAGAAAGAAAAAAGAAUAUUCCGAGGCACCCAUACUACGCUGAUACACGCGUCCCCCGUUCUCUGCGUCAUUAAACAUUCUAAGUUCAUCCUGACACGACGAAAGAAAAAGGAGAAAGAAAGAUCUCGCCGAUAAUGAACGGUACGAGUCGACUUUCUUGGAUGGGACCAGUAACAGAAACGCGAAUUAUGUUGAAAUAUGAAUUGAGCAUGCGAAUGUGUCAGGCUCUCAGAACCAGAGUCGACAACCAACAAUAUUUGCACUAUUGAAAUAUUGAAGAAAGCAGGCAAAAAAUAAUUGAAUGUUUUCGUCGUCAAACAUGAUCAAUAAACACAAAUAAUCCCAGACAUUCGCUUUUUUACGCUUCAUCGAACAAAAUACAAUUCUUCGUGGAUGGUACAAAGAGCAGCAUUUUUCAAGUAUUAUAAAAACUCAUAAAAAUGAGAACGAAAAAUAAAUGUUUUAUUUUCCUAUUCGUUUUCCUCCAUAAUUUUCAAUUUGCAGUGUUUCAACAUACACGAAUGAAUCGUGACGUAAAAAAUUGGAGGAUUCACGAAUGUUUUUUCUUCGUUCGUCUUCUUUUUUGAUCACACAUGCCGGAAGAUAUUCCCCAGGCGACGAUUGAGAAAGCUUUUAAUAACUGCAACCGUUUAGAGUUCAAACAAUCUAACAAUUAUUCAAUGAACAUACACGAACAGAAAAUAAUGCAACAGGGAUUACGAAAACUCGCAAUUCGUGUCUUAAUAGCAAAAGACGCUAUUCCGUCGUAAUUCGUUUCAUUUCUGAAGCAUGCUGAUGAACAAUUAUCUCGAUCGAUGCGCGUGUGAGUGUAAACAUACAGGGAAU